ACGCAAAACCUUACCGGGGUUUGAACUGUACGGGACAGCUGCAGAGAUGUAGUUUUCCUUCGGGACCCGUAUAGAGGUGCUGCAUGGCUGUCGUCAGCUCGUGUCGUGAGAUGUUGGGUUAAGUCCCGCAACGAGCGCAACCCUUGCCUCCUGUUGCCAACAGGUAAAGCUGGGCACUCUGGAGAGACUGCCGGUGAUAAACCGGAGGAAGGUGGGGAUGACGUCAAGUCCUCAUGGCCUUUAUGCCCCGGGCUACACACGUGCUACAAUGGCUGGUACAAAGGGUUGCAAAACCGCGAGGUGGAGCUAAUCCCAAAAAACCAGUCCCAGUUCGGAUUGGAGUCUGCAACUCGACUCCAUGAAGUUGGAACCGCUAGUAAUCGCGGAUCAGCACGCCGCGGUGAAUACGUUCCCGGGUCUUGUACACACCG
rnacentral:rRNA from 1 species